CCUGGCGGCACUAGCGCGGUGGUCCCACCUGACCCCAUGCCGAACUCAGAAGUGAAACGCCGUAGCGCCGAUGGUAGUGUGGGGUC
rnacentral:rRNA from 11 species